rnacentral:rRNA from 1 species
GACGAACGCUGGCGGCGUGCUUAACACAUGCAAGUCGAACGGAAAGGCCCUGCUUUUGUGGGGUGCUCGAGUGGCGAACGGGUGAGUAGCACGUGAGUAACCUGCCCUUGACUUUGGGAUAACUUCAGGAAACUGGGGCUAAUACCGGAUAGGAGCUCCUGCUGCAUGGUGGGGGUUGGAAAGUUUCGGCGGUUGGGGAUGGACUCGCGGCUUAUCAGCUUGUUGGUGGGGUAGUGGCUUACCAAGGCUUUGACGGGUAGCCGGCCUGAGAGGGUGACCGGCCACAUUGAGACUGAGAUACGGCCCAGACUCCUACGGGAGGCAGCAGUGGGGAAUAUUGCACAAUGGGCGGAAGCCUGAUGCAGCAACGCCGCGUGCGGGAUGACGGCCUUCGGGUUGUAAACCGCUUUCGCCUGUGACGAAGCGUGAGUGACGGUAAUGGGUAAAGAAGCACCGGCUAACUACGUG